rnacentral:rRNA from 1 species
GACGAACGCUGGCGGCGUGCUUAACACAUGCAAGUCGAACGCUGAAGCACCAGCUUGCUGGUGUGGAUGAGUGGCGAACGGGUGAGUAAUACGUGAGUAACCUGCCCUUGACUCUGGGAUAAGCCCGGGAAACUGGGUCUAAUACUGGAUGCUACAUGUCACCGCAUGGUGGUGUGUGGAAAGGGUUUACUGGUCUUGGAUGGGCUCACGGCCUAUCAGCUUGUUGGUGAGGUAAUGGCUCACCAAGGCGACGACGGGUAGCCGGCCUGAGGGGGUGACCGGCCACACUGGGACUGAGACACGGCCCAGACUCCUACGGGAGGCAGCAGUGGGGAAUAUUGGACAAUGGGCGAAAGCCUGAUGCAGCGGCGCCGCGUGAGGGAUGACGGCCUUCGGGUUGUAAACCUCUUUCAGCAGGGAAGAAGCCACAAGUGACGGUACCUGCAGAAGAAGCGCCGGCUAACUACGUG